GGUGUGAGUAUCAAUAUUUCUGUGAGGCAGUUACGGGAUAAGAGAGAUCUCCUUUGUCCAUCACUGAAAUGUGGCCACUUCUGCAGUGGAACAUGGCAACCGCUUAAAAGUGCUCAGCUCAUGUUACACAGCCAUUUGGGCAUGAAAUACAAGGAGCUAAGCGAACUCUGAGAAGCAAAAAUUAUUAUGUUGUCUGAAAAACACAUCACUUCGAAACAGAAAAACGAGGCAUGCACAGAAAUGUGCUGUGACUCUGAUUAGGACAGACAAUGCUUGGCGCUCCUAUAGCACUUUCCGUCAGAGGAUCUCAAAAUGAUUCAUGAAUUAACCUAACACCCUCCCUCUAGAGUAGACAUUUUAGUUGCGGGCAGUGAGACACUGCCAGGUGAAAUGACUUGCAGAAGGUCAGAAUGAAAUACUGACACAACUGGAAAUAGAACCCAGGAGAGCUGACUCCCAGGUCUGUACUUCAAAACAUUAGGCCAUCCUUUCUUUGCCUUAUAGUGAGGGUAAAACGAACACACACACUAUACUGACUAUAGUGCAGACGGAGACAUAGUUUGUAUGUGCAGGGUCUCUCUCUCUCUCCUCCCCCAAAGCUGCAACUCUUGACUGCCAGAGUGAGUGUUUUUUUCCAGCCAGCUCUGAUGUGGCAUAUCAUGUGUCACGCCCUGUAAGACCAUCUGUCUUUAGCGUUGCUUUUGGUAUGCGACUCGGUCAGUGUCUGAGCAUCCUACACUCCUAUCUGGCAGAUGCAGAUUAUUUCCAGUGGAAUUUUGAAACUUAUCCAGGACUGAAAUAGACUAGGAGCACCACAUUAUCAGCAAUCCAUGCCUUAGGAGCAAUUAUUUAUAGGCUUGCGUGGAGUAUCACAAUGCCACUUUCAUAGAUACGCUGCAACAUACACACAUCCUUCUUCACAUGUGUUAUAUUGCGGAUCCCCUCCUCCUAUUGGCUAUGUGAAUAUGGAUGUUCAGGGGGAGAAAACGGAAGGUCGACUGAAGAAUGAUACCCAGACAGAGGAAAAACACAGAAAAUACAAGGCCACACCAGGAGGAGAAGUGGAUUCGAUUGUCACUUUAAUCCGAAGACUGCUGCAUGCACUGUAAACAUGAUCGUUAGGCUGGAUUCUUUAUCGGUAUUUAUUUUGCUUUAAUAUAAAAGUUACAGGUUUGAAAUGUU